CAAAGCACGGGUAGGAGAAGAUAAAUCAUGAAAUCUCUGGAGAUGGAAACAUCACUGGUUCUGCGUCUCAUUUCUGUAGCUGCUCCAAGUCAGACUACUCAAUGUGAUGAAGGCAGUGGGAGAUCAGCAACUUCCAUCACAUGGAGCAACUUCAAUGUUAAAAGUAGGAGAAGCCUGGAGGGGAUUUGUAUCACAAGGUGACCUUGAGGAGCAGCAAGUGUUGUGGAGACAAAAAAAGCAUUUGUUUUAGGAAGAGGAAUCAAAGAAUCACAUUUACUAGAAAAAUGAAGUCAUUCUGUUUCAUGAGUAUCUGUGGGCAACUGACUACUGAGCCUGCUCAGCACCAAUGUCAUCCCCUAUUCACGACACUAGGAGUCAGCUCCUUUAUCUGACUACUCAACAAUUUCAGCUUGGAAGAUCCAAGAUGAUUCAGUGGCUUAGUAAUGCGUUUGUCAAGUGGAACUGAAAAAAAAUACCAGCAUUUUGGGGCAAUAUUCUUCUAACAAGAAUCUGUAUUACUGAAAUGGCUGUUCAAUAUGAUACAGUCACCUAACCACAGAGGACCACCCUCCUCUGAUGCUUCUGCUUCCAUUUGGUAUUUGAUCUGAACUCAGUGAUUCUGACACAUGGGGCAGAGGUAGC